GAUGGAGGCAAGGAUCUGGCAGCAGGAAUCUUCCAUCCUCCUGGCUGAGGAGUGAACAGCAUGAGGGAGAAACUGGCUGAGAGGACACAGAAUCCACCUAGUUGGAAAUAAUUAAUCCUUCUUUCCAGACCAAGCCUUACAACCGAAUUCAGUCUCUGAAAUGUGGGUAAAUGGCAUGAUUUUAUUUUCACUGCGACCUUUGGAGUCGGGCUGAUUCCCGGUGGGCUGACCUCCCACUAAACUGACCUACUCAAACCCAGCCAGUUCAGCCAGGUGACCAGCUACUAAUCAGCCAGAAUCUGGUUAAUCUUUACUGCUUAUGGGUUUCCAGAAUUUUCAACUGCCUGCACUCAGGUGCAGGAAUGAGCCUUUUCUGUUCUUUUUGUCCUGUCCUGUGAGGACAGGAAGGACAGUCUUCUGUGGGACACACAGCAAAGAAUCAGCAAUGGCACGUGAGCCCUGAGGCUGUGGCCUCCCCGUCAAGCCACGUGCAGACGGCACAGCCCAGGCCCGCCUCUGCCACGCCGGGUCCCCCUUCUCUCUCUCCGCUGGGACUGGGAUGGAACGGGAAACACGGGUGGCAUCGAUGACAUCGCACCAUCGGCGGAGAUGCUCGUUGCCGACUAUAAAAAGAAGAUCCCAGCGUUAAGCACGAGUCCUGUGGGUGGGCCUCUGGGUGUGGGGGAAGGACGUGCUGCAGGCUAACUGUGUGUUCAGGACACACUUUGGCUCUCUCCCCGGCAGGGUCAUUGGCGGGAGAGCUAAUCGCUCAGUAAACAGAGAAGAGAGAUGCUUAUACUUAAUAAGCCAUUGCAAAUGGAAAAGGCAAGCUCCUACCCAAUGUGAUUCUCUCUAGAAGCAAAUGGCUUGGAUCCAAACACUACAAAGCCGUUUCAGAAUGCUGAGAGGCCUCCCAGUCUCAGCGCCCCUGGAAUGUAACCCUCUGGCAUCUUCUCUCUCACCUGGAAGUCGCUCUAACAAGGGAAGAGGGAAGGGUGGCACCAUCGCGAUUGUGUUCUUUUGUCUUAAGCUCUUUUCUAGGAAAAAGGACUUCAGAGAGUCCCACCAGUCCAUACACACUGCCAACGUUGGGGACACUAGCAUCUCUUCCAAAUGGAGUAAAUCAAAGAAUCCAGGCAGAAGACAAGCACGGGCAGGGCCUGAGACUCUCAGUCCCUCACCAGCUCUGUGCCUGGACUGGGAGCUCCACCGCUCUCCCUGAGUUAAGACUCCAGCCGCGAGUUGCAUCCUCAGGGCCAGUACCUGGUGUCUCCGGCUGCCCACCGGCCUCCUGCCUCUGGUCCUUUGUUUGCAGGCACGGAGACAGGUCAUCCACUCUUCAAAGCAUCAGGACGGACAGCAGCUGUGCUCCCGCUCAGGACUUCUUGGUAAUUUCCAUCGCAGGCCAAAAGGAAAAAGGGAGCGCUUGCAGGACACCAGGGUCCCAUUAAGAUGGCGCUCGAGACUUUCCGACCACUCGCCAAAGUGCGCCGGGCCGGGAACACAAAGCCCCCGGGCCGGGAGCGGACGGAGCCGGCCUGUCGGGGCGCGCGAGGCCGGCCCCACUGGGGCGCUCCCUGGAGGCCUCGGCACGCCGGCCGCCGCUGCCAUCUCUUCGCCCCCCGCCCCACACCCACUCGGGUCAGCCCCGGGCCCCGCCGCGCUGCUGGGAUCGGAGGAGCCAGGGCGCAGACACGCGUCUCCAAACCGCACCCGGCCGCUGUUCCCGCGCCGGCCGCCCGGCUCUGCAUAAGCCGGGUCUCUGCUUUGCAGGGAAGCGGGCAGGUGCGGGUUUUGUUGUUUUAACAGUUUCACUGAAAUUGUUGUUCGUUGCAAGGUUUUAAUAAACUUGGUCCGCGCGCUCACGUUUCCACCAACACACUCCAAACUUUCUUGCUGCCCCCGAUGCCGGUGGAGUUCGAAUGAAAGUCAAGCGGCCUCCUUAAAAAGAAAAGAAAAAAGAAAAAAAGGAAAAAAAGCUCGUGAGGAUUCUAGGCCGUCAGAUGCGAGGGCUUAUUUCUAAAUAACCGUUCAGCGAUCAGGGAGCGAGCUUUCCUUCCGCCACCAAGUUCAGCUCUCCUUCCUCUCUCUCCAAGGAAAGUGACUCGAUAAGGCGCUCCCGUUCCCCAGUCUCCUCCUUAGUGUGGCCUGCGCGGGCCCCGCCGCGGAGAGGGGUGCGCCUCCCGGACCUCAAACCCGCAGCAGCGAGCCCUUCCUUUGUGCCUGCCCUUGGCUGUGAACUUUCCCGCGCGGUGGGUUCUCCUUUAAGAAAGUAGCGAUCUCUAUGAAUAUUUAAUGCCGGGCGCCGGCCGCCCGGGCGGAGGGGAGCCCCGCGCCCGGGUCCCCGCAGCCAGGACAGGAACCGCGGGCCGGGGCGCGCGGCCUGCCGCGUUCAUUUCCAUAAGAAAGCCGGCCGCGCGGCUGGAGGGAGGAUUCGCGCCCGGCCGCCCUCCCCCGGACCCCCGGUUUUCUGCUAGAAGCGGGCUCGGGAGCUCAGAGCCCCAAGUGUGCGCUCGUCUCCGAUGGUAUCGACAAAGUGUGGUUUCAAAUGUUGCCCCGACUGAGGCCGGUUUCCUGUCUGUGUGCGGAGUGGAAGGACCGCGCCGGUCCCUUCUGCCUGUACGUAGUCAUUUGGAGAAAAAUCAAGGCUGAGCCCCUCUCCCUGCAGAAAGUUCUAUAUAUUAGGUAACACUCACACAGGAAUUCCUCGAGUUUACCCAUUUGCUCCAAAUCAGCCAGCACUUGGUUUCCUGGCUGGGGUGGGGCCAUGGUGGGGGUGUCGGGGUAAUGCACACAGAGGCUUCAUUCCUGGGGGGCUGUUUUUUCCCCUCCUGGAACCCCCAGUCCAAGGCCCAGAACAAAGGGGAUAGUUAAGUGACCUGUCUUUUGGUCUCUCCCUUUACUUCCACCCCCUCACCUGCAGGCCCUCCUCUUUGAUACACUGAGGAAAACCUGUGGGACCAGGGACACAGGUAAGCAGUGCUGCCCUGUGAGGCCCCCUCAUGGAAAAUCAGAAACCCUGUUUUAAGUGCGGGCUGCUCAGUGCCUUGAAUAUCCACACCUCCACUCCCCCAGAUGUCACUGGACCUGCCUAGCAUCCCUCUCGCAUAAAAAACCUCCAGGACAACUCUUAAACAGAUCUUGGAAGAGUCAGACAUCUCUCAGGUCUGAAACAUUUUUAAAGCCCUGUUUGGAAGAAAUCUUGGAGGAGCACGAGUUACAAUCAGUAGGAUUGCCUGAGCAAGUGAUGCUGUCCUUUCUGACUGGACCUAUUUAAUUAAUUUUUAAAAAUUCUACUGGAGAGUUUUCAACCUUGGAGAUGUCAAUGAAAAAUAGACUCUCUCUCUCUGAGAUUCUUACAGGGGCUGAAUGGAAGCACCAUGCCUGGUUCCCCUUCACUCCUCUAAGUGGUCCUGCCUGAAACUGGGUGGGCUGAGGGUGGUAGGUUUGGGCAUCUUUUAUUUCAGGGCUGGUGCAAGGCGAGCUCUUUGAAAUGAAUAUCUAUUCUAUUUCAGUGUGCAAAUUUCCAGCCUACUAAAUGGGCUUGCCUUGUGCCGGGAGGGAGGCAGCCCUGCAGGACAGAACUAAUGUGCGAUUUCUCAGGAAGCUCUUCGUCAGAACAUCCCUUGUCCUUUUGUUUUUGUUUUUGAAUUAAAAAAAGAUGUGUUUGCUUUCCUCUCAGUGUUCAUCCUGCUACUUUGUAGCUCCAACAAUGAAACAUAGACAACA